rnacentral:rRNA from 1 species
UACAGAGGUCCCAAGCGUUGUUCGGAUUCACUGGGCGUAAAGGGUGCGUAGGUGGUGAGGCAAGUUCGAUGUGAAAGCUCCAGGCUUAACCUGGAAAUGGCAUUGAAGACUGCCCCGCUCGAGGGUCGGAAGGGAGACUGGAAUUCUCGGUGUAGCAGUGAAAUGCGUAGAUAUCGAGAGGAACACCAGUGGCGAAGGCGAGUCUCUGGACGACACCUGACACUGAGGCACGAAAGCUAGGGGAGCAAACAGG